UGCCCCUUGGCUGAGUUGGUUACAGCGUCCGACUGUUAGGGAGCUUAUAUUUCCUGGAAUCGGAAGGUCGUGAGUUCGAGCCUCACAGGGGCAG